ACGGGUGAGUAAUAUAUCGGAACGUGCCCAGUAGUGGGGGAUAGCCCGGCGAAAGCCGGAUUAAUACCGCAUACGACCUACGGGUGAAAGCGGGGGAUCGCAAGACCUCGCGCUAUUGGAGCGGCCGAUAUCAGAUUAGCUUGUUGGUGGGGUAAAAGCCUACCAAGGCGACGAUCUGUAGCUGGUCUGAGAGGACGACCAGCCACACUGGGACUGAGACACGGCCCAGACUCCUACGGGAGGCAGCAGUGGGGAAUUUUGGACAAUGGGCGCAAGCCUGAUCCAGCCAUGCCGCGUGCGGGAAGAAGGCCUUCGGGUUGUAAACCGCUUUUGUCAGGGAAGAAACGGCUCUUACUAAUACUAGGGGCUAAUGACGGUACCUGAAGAAUAAGCACCGGCUAACUACGUGCCAGCAGCCGCGGUAAUACGUAGGGUGCAAGCGUUAAUCGGAAUUACUGGGCGUAAAGCGUGCGCAGGCGGCUUUGCAAGACAGAUGUGAAAUCCCCGGGCUCAACCUGGGAACUGCAUUUGUGACUGCAUGGCUAGAGUGCGGCAGAGGGGGAUGGAAUUCCGCGUGUAGCAGUGAA
rnacentral:rRNA from 1 species